ACUUUAGUGAUAUUAUAGGCUUAAGUAGUUAUUUUUUAAAUUAUAUUUGUGCUCAAGCCGCCUGUUUUGGGCGUUGGGUCCCUUCUCUCUCUAUGCUCCUUCAGUUCUUCAAAGUUUCAUCUGUUGGAUACAGAGCUUGCUAACGGAGUCGCAGGAAUCGUCGUUAUGGGGAAGACCAUACCGACUUCCACCUAAGAUUACCAGUCCCCCAAAGCCAUAUGAGAGAGAGGCUUGGAGUUCUGUCUCCCCCCAUUCUAUCCGGUGUUGCAUGCGUUUGAAAGCUUCUAUUUUGCUUUCUUGGCUCUUUCUUCCAGAGUGUUUAAUAUUGAUGUAGUUAACCUCCUAUUUUUUUGCCUUGUUGAAUGACUAGAAGCUCUCUGGGUUCUAUGCCCUGUGCGCCAUUGUCAACAAGAAAGGAAGGAGCACUGCAUCUUCUGCGCUGUCUUGGAAGAAACGGGUCUGUUGUGUUUGGUUUUAUGGGUCGUUGACCCGCCCAUCGUACCCAUCGUUGGGCGGCUAGGACUUCUUUUGAGCCUCAGAUUUUCUGUAUUGGGGUAUGGGCUUUGGGGAGUCUUUUUGGACCUUGUAUGAUAGACCCCUGAGGCGGUCCACUCGGUCGAUCAUCAAAAAUAAGAAGUAUUUAAAUUAAAUAUGCUGAUAUGUUUAUUCUGCAGCAUUUAUUCGUUAUUUUUUUAAUUGUUUACUUAGUCAUAUUUGGUGUUAACAAAUCAUGGCUAGAAUCUCUCAUGAGUGCCGUUUGUGGCCAUUAAGUUAGGAAUAAGUUGUUGAGUCUUUUCCUAUUUAAAUUCUUUGUAGCUGCAGCAGUAAAGGGGGAAAAAAAAACUAGAAACUUUUUAUUUUUCUUAAUUAAUUUCUUAAGGCUUUGACUGGGACCCAUCAGAGGUAUCAGAGCCAUUAAUUCCUAAUUUUUUUUUUCUUUCUCUCUUUUCUUUUUCAUGGCAACAAACAAAGAGCGAAUUGAGAAUUUGGAAGCUGGCCUUGGUCAGCUCCAGGAGAGUGUAUCAAAAAUGGAACAGGGACUUCGCAAUGAGCUGCAACAACUCACAGCAGCCAUUUCUAAGAUCUCUGACCUAUCGCUUGCUGGUAAGGAGGCAUCUAGCAGUGUUGGAGACCGAAUCAGCCAGGUUCGUGACAAACAAGCUGACCCCAAGGAUGGAGACAAACCAUUGUAUUCUGCGAAAUUGGCAAAAUUAGAAUUUCCUAAAUACUCUGGAGACGACCCAACCAAAUGGUUCACAAGAGUGGAUCAAUUUUUUUGAGUACCAAGGAACCCCAGCUGCAGAAAAAGUCUCCUUGGCCUCUUAUCAUCUUCGAGGAGAGGCGAAUGAAUGGUGGCAGUGGCUUCGCCGAACUCACACUGAAGCGGGAACAACGACGUGGGACAUAUUUUCUGAGGAAUUAUGGUCUCGUUUUGGGCCCACCGAUUGUGAGGACUUUGAUGAGUCACUAUCGAAGAUACGCCAGACAGGACUCUUACGAGAUUAUCAACGGGAGUUCGAAAGAUUGGGUAAUCGAGUGAGAGGAUGGACUCAAAAGGCUCUCGUGGGAACGUUUAUGGGGGCCUCCAACCUGAAAUUUCAGAGGGCAUACGAAUGUUCAAACCUAAAACCCUAAAAGAAGCCAUCAGUCUUGCCCGAAUGAGAGAUGAACAAUUGCUGCGCCAAAAGAAGGCAAUUCGUCCUUCUUUCCAAUCGAGCUCAUCGUCACCAACAAAGUCUAAACAAUCCACGCCCGUCAAAAGACUUUCUUGGGAAGAGAUGCAGAAUCGGCGAGCAAAGGGAUUGUGUUUUAACUGCGACGAAAAAUUUUUUCCAGGCCACAGGUGUUCCAAACCGCAGCUUCUCCUCCUUGACUGUGGCCUUAAUUUUGACGAGGAUGACGAAGAAAUUGAGCCUGAGAUUUCGUUGCACGCUCUCUCUGGUUGGUCUUCCGCAGGUACUAUGAGAGUUGCACUAUAAAUUCAAUCUUUUGAGCUGAUUGUUCUUAUUGAUAGUGGGUCUACUCAUAACUUCGUCAAUGAGAAAAUAGUUGGGCUUAUCAGACUUCCGGUGCACCCAACGAAGCCAUUCACUGUGAAGGUGGCAAACGGUACUCCUCUGCCCUGUAAUGGAAAAUUCAAAGAUAUCUCAUUCUCCUUACAAGGUAUACCCUUUGUUGCUACAUUUUAUUCCUUAUCAAUUAUGGGAUUAGAUGCCGUUUUGGGAGUACAGUGGUUACAACAACUGGAUACUGUUCAAUGUAAUUGGAAAACUUUGACGAUGAAUUUUGAAUGGGAAGGACAGCAACCCCAUCUACAGGGCAUCCAACACCAGCAGAUUGAACCCCUUCCCUUGAGGGCUAUGACUAAAGAAUUGCACCAUGGCCGCACAAUCUUUGUUAUAUGUGUUGAAACCACAUCAGUUAUACCCGAAGGAAUACACUCAGAAAUGCAACAAUUACUGAGUCGAUUUGCAGACAUUUAUCAGAAGCCAACCCAGCUUCCACCUCACAGGGACAUUGAACAUCAUAUCAACCUUAAAGAUGGAACUGAUCCGAUGAAUGUACGCCCUUAUAGGUACGCUUAUUUUCAAAAAGCAGAGAUUGAAAAGCAGGUACAGGAUAUGUUGCAAUCGGGGCUGAUCCGGGCUAGUACAAGUCCAUUCUCUUCUCCUGUUAAGAAGGAUGGCUCAUGGCGGUUCUACACUGAUUAUAGGGCCCUUAAUUCUGUCACAAUUCGGGACAGGUUUCCAAAACCAUCUGUGGAGGACAUGUUAGAUGAGUUAUAUGGAGCUGCAUAUUUCACCAAACUUGAUCUCAUUUCUGGAUUCCAUCAGGUUCGGGUUCACUCUGCCGAUAUCCACAAGACAGCCUUCCGAACUCACAACGGCCACUAUGAAUGUCUGGUAAUGCCUUUCGGGUUAUGCAAUGCACCCUCAACCUUUCAGGCUCUGAUACCACUGAUGGGUCCCAGUCAAAGCCUUAAGAAAUUAAUUAAGAAAAAUAAGAAGUUUCUGGUUUUUUUUUUUCCCCUUUACUGCUGCAGCUACAAAGAAUUUAAAUAGGAAAAGACUCAACAACUUAUUCCUAACUUAAUGGCCACAAACGGCACUCAUGAGAGAUUCUAGCCAUGAUUUGUUAACACCAAAUAUGACUAAGUAAACAACUAAAAAAAUAACGAAUAAAUGUUGCAGAAUAAACAUAUCAGCAUAUUUAAUUUAAAUACUUCUUAUUCUUGAUGAUCGACCGAGUGGACCGCCUCAGGGGUCUAUCAUUGUUACCCUUCUUUAUUAAUGAUAUUUCUUUACCUUUGGCCAAAAAGGAAAAAAAUAAAAAGAAUUAUUGUAUUACUAUUGGUUAAGGUCUAGGAGCAUGUAAUACUUUCAACAUGAUUUGGUCCUGUAUCAAUCAGGAGGGAAAAUAACGGGAAAACAACCAUGAAGUUUAAGCGCCAAAAAGGAAAUCCAAUUCACAUUUUCAUGUUGUUUAUUACAAGUCAAUCCAUAACAUUCACAAAGUCAAUUGAUAAUAAGAACUUUUCUUUGGUAAGCUUCAAGUUUUCUAUUGAUUAAGCUUCCAAUAUUAGUAAAAAUUAAAAAAG
rnacentral:lncRNA from 1 species